rnacentral:rRNA from 1 species
AAACAUAACCUUUAGCCAAACAAAUAUUAAAGGCAACGCCUGCCCAGUGAACAAUUAAACGGCCGCGGUACCCUAACCGUGCAAAGGUAGCGUAAUCAUUUGUCUACUAAUUAUAGACCUGUAUGAAAGGCAAAAUGAGGGCCCGACUGUCUCUUAUAAUCAAUCAAUUAAACUGAUCUCCUAGUAAAAAAGCUAGAAUCCCAACAUAAGACCAGAAGACCCUGUGAAGCUUAAACUAAAUUAUUAAACCAAAUAAUAACUACUUUCGGUUGGGGCGACCUUGGAACAAAAAAGAACUUCCAAAUACAAUGAUCUAAUCAUACCAAAAGGCCCACCAGCCUCUAAAUGACCCAGUCAAAGCUGAUAAAUGAACCAAGUUACUCCAGGGAUAACAGCGCAAUCUUCUUCAAGAGCCCAUAUCAAAAAGAAGGUUUACGACCUCGAUGUUGGAUCAGGACAUCCUAAUGGUGCAGCCGCUAUUAAGGGUUCGUUUGUUCAACGAUUAACAGUCCUACGUGAUC